rnacentral:misc_RNA from 1 species
UUCAGAUUUAAGGAAUACCUUAAUAUUCUUUUGAGCAAGGAUAGUAAUAUAAUGUGUGGAGAACACACUAGGAGGCAACAAAAAUGGAACAAGGUAAAGUAAAAUGGUUUAACGCAGAAAAAGGUUUUGGAUUCAUCGAACGUGAAGGUGGAGACGAUGUAUUCGUACAUUUCUCAGCUAUCCAAGGCGAAGGUUUCAAAACUCUUGAAGAAGGCCAAGACGUUACAUUUGAUGUAGAACAAGGUCAACGUGGACCACAAGCAUCAAACGUAAACAAAGCUUAAUUCAACCCUAUAUUAUUUACAGACAGGCUCUCUUUUGGAGCCUGUCUUUUA